CUUUUUAUUUUUAGUAAACCUUCCUUCUGUUGUACAGAUGAGGUUAGGGUUAUUGGGGACAGACAGACAAGAUCUGAAAAAAUAAACAAGCAAACAAUAGAUCAUCCAACUCCCCAAUCACCAGACUGGUUUUGAAAUUUAGGGAAGAUGAAGAUUCAGGCUAGAAAUAAUGGCUGAAUAUAAGGCCUGUAAGAAUGGCAACAGACACCAAGUUGUAGAUGCUACCAUGACACCAUCCUGACUCUCCCAGGGAAGACAACUUCACCAAUGUACCCUGGAACCCCAUCUCUUCAGAGCCCUGCCCCACUAGGGAAAGAUAGAAAUAGACUGGGAGUAUGGAUCAACCUUCCAAUGCCCAUGUUCAGAGGAGA